UUUUAUGGAGAGUUUGAUCCUGGCUCAGGAUGAACGCUGGCGGCGUGCCUAAUACAUGCAAGUCGAGCGAACAGACGAGGAGCUUGCUUCUCUGACGUUAGCGGCGGACGGGUGAGUAACACGUGGAUAACCUACCUAUAAGACUGGGAUAACUUCGGGAAACCGGAGCUAAUACCGGAUAAUAUAUUGAGACGCAUGGGUCAAUAGUGCAAGAUGGCUUUGCUGU
rnacentral:rRNA from 1 species